rnacentral:rRNA from 1 species
AUGUGUGGCAUAUCAUUUGCAAUCUUCAAGGCGAAAUGCAAAUGCAAGGGGCGAGAGGUGGUGUCGCUGAAGAUCGGAGCAGUUCGCUCCUUGCACAAAUUUCAGAUGAUGUACGAGGCUAUAACAUUAAGCAUGGUUCUGGUUUUCAGUACUGGCUCUGAACACAUGGUCUCCCACAAGCUUAGCAAAUCAGUGUUCAGGUUAGAGGACAGGGUUAGCCGGAGACAAUGGAGCAGAGCACAUACAUGUAGUGAAACCUAUUUUGAGAAAGGGCAGUUAAGGCAUGGGUACGAAGCAGAUUCAAGGACUCUCACAAAAUUAAUGGAAGGAUAA